UGGGGAAUUUUGGACAAUGGGCGCAAGCCUGAUCCAGCCAUGCCGCGUGCAGGAUGAAGGCCCUCGGGUUGUAAACUGCUUUUGUACGGAACGAAAAGCCUCUUUCUAAUAAAGAGGGGUGAUGACGGUACCGUAAGAAUAAGCACCGGCUAACUACGUGCCAGCAGCCGCGGUAAUACGUAGGGUGCGAGCGUUAAUCGGAAUUACUGGGCGUAAAGCGUGCGCAGGCGGUCUUGCAAGACAGUGGUGAAAUCCCCGGGCUCAACCUGGGAACUGCCAUUGUGACUGCAAGGCUGGAGUACGGCAGAUGGGGAUGGAAUUCCGCGUGUAGCAGUGAAAUGCGUAGAUAUGCGGAGGAACACCGAUGGCGAAGGCAGUCCCCUGGGCCUGUACUGACGCUCAUGCACGAAAGCGUGGGGAGCAAAC
rnacentral:rRNA from 1 species